GUAAGACUAUAAAAGAAAUGG
rnacentral:rRNA from 1 species